ensembl:miRNA
UGUUUGUUCUCUCUCCCCUGCCACCUGCCUCUUCCCUGCUGUGGAGCAGGCAAGGAGAGGGUGAAGGGAGGGCCAGCAAG